rnacentral:RNase_P_RNA from 1 species
UCCGAGAAGCGGUCAUUCGCUCCGAUGCCCUCGGGCAGACGAGAGGAAAGUCCGGACAUCACAGGGUAGGAUUCCUCGUGAAAGCGGGGGGAGCUUGUUUCAAUGCAAGUUCACGGAUAGUGCCACAGAAAACAAACCGCCUCCCUAAGGGGGUAAGGGUGAAAUGGUGGGGUAAGAGCCCACCGCCGUUUGAGCAAUCAGACGGGCAUGGUAAACCCAAUCCGAUGCAAGACGAAAUAGGAAACCGGGCUACCCGUCUAUGGUUUCGGGUACGUCGCACCCCGCCUCGGCGGGGAUUUGAUCUUUGGUCAAAUAGAUAAAUGAAUGACAACCUUUGCAAAGGUUUGUUUUUGCAUAAGGUUACAGAAUCCGGCUUACAGCUUCUCGGAAUCC